UAAUACGUAGGGUGCAAACGUUGUUCGGAAUCACUGGGCAUAAAGGGCGCGUAGGCGGUUUGAUAAGUCCUGUGUGAAAGCCCCCGGCUCAACCGGGGAACUGCACUGGAUACUGUCAGGCUAGAGUGUAGAAGAGGAGAGCGGAAUUCCUGGUGGAGCGGUGAAAUGCGUAGAUAUCAGGAGGAACGCCAGUGGCGAAAGCGGCUCUCUGGUCUACUACUGACGCUGAGGCGCGAAAGCUAGGGGAGCAAACGGGAUUAGAUACCCCGGUAGUCCUAGCCCUAAACGAUGGGUACUAAGUAGGGGGAGCUCCGAUGCUCUCCCUGCCGGAGCUAAUGUAUUAAGUACCCCGCCUGGGGAGUAUGGUCGCAAGGCUA
rnacentral:rRNA from 1 species